rnacentral:rRNA from 1 species
CAAUAGCGUAUAUUAAAGUUGUUGCGGUUAAAAAGCUCGUAGUUGGAUUUCUGUCGAGGACGACCGGUCCGCCCUCUGGGUGAGUAUCUGGCUCGGCCUGGGCAUCUUCUUGGAGAACGUAUCUGCACUUGACUGUGUGGUGCGGUAUCCAGGACUUUUACUUUGAGGAAAUUAGAGUGUUUCAAGCAGGCAUACGCCUUGAAUACAUUAGCAUGGAAUAAUAAGAUAGGACCUCGGUUCUAUUUUUGUUGGUUUCUAGAGCUGAGGUAAUGAUUAAUAGGGACAAGUUGGGGGCAUUCGUAUUACGGCGUCAGAGGUGAAAUUCUUGGAUUGCCGUACGACGAACUACUGCGAAAGCUAUUUGCCAAAGGAUUGUUUUCUAUUGAUCAAGAACGAAA